GGAGACUAAGGGUGGGACCCUAAACUUUGGUAGGCCCCGGUACCAAUGCACCUGCAGAAAUUCCACCCCUGUCUCUCUGGCAUCCAUAGCCUUCAACAUAAUGUCUGCAAAACCAUUCAGUCUAGACAGCAAUAAUAAGCUGAGAGAACCUGGGGCAGUUCUUAUUCUCAAGAAUUGAAUACACAAUACUGUUCUUAUUUCUAAAAGACUAAUCCCAAGCUAAUUACAAUGUGGAGCAAGG